rnacentral:rRNA from 1 species
UGAGCUUGAUCCCUGGCUCAGAACGAACGCUGGCGGCAGGCUUAACACAUGCAAGUCGAGCGCCUCGCAAGAGGAGCGGCAGACGGGUGAGUAACGCGUGGGAAUCUACCCAUCUCUACGGAAUAACUCAGGGAAACUUGUGCUAAUACCGUAUACGCCCUUAGGGGGAAAGAUUUAUCGGAGAUGGAUGAGCCCGCGUUGGAUUAGCUAGUUGGUGGGGUAAAGGCCUACCAAGGCGACGAUCCAUAGCUGGUCUGAGAGGAUGAUCAGCCACAUUGGGACUGAGACACGGCCCAAACUCCUACGGGAGGCAGCAGUGGGGAAUAUUGGACAAUGGGCGCAAGCCUGAUCCAGCCAUGCCGCGUGAGUGAUGAAGGCCUUAGGGUUGUAAAGCUCUUUCACCGGAGAAGAUAAUGACGGUAUCCGGAGAAGAAGCCCCGGCUA